GACGAACGCUGGCGGCGUGCUUAACACAUGCAAGUCGAACGGAAAGGCCCUGCUUUUGUGGGGUGCUCGAGUGGCGAACGGGUGCGUAACACGUGAGUAACCUGCCCUUGACUUUGGGAUAACUUCAGGAAACUGGGGCUAAUACCGGAUAGGAGCUCCUGCUGCAUGGUGGGGGUUGGAAAGUUUCGGCGGUUGGGGAUGGACUCGCGGCUUAUCAGCUUGUUGGUGGGGUAGUGGCUUACCAAGGCUUUGACGGGUAGCCGGCCUGAGAGGGUGACCGGCCACAUGGGGACUGAGAUACGGCCCAGACUCCUACGGGAGGCAGCAGUGGGGAAUAUUGCACAAUGGGCGGAAGCCUGAUGCAGCAACGCCGCGUGCGGGAUGACGGCCUUCGGGUUGUAAACCGCUUUCGCCUGUGACGAAGCGUGAGUGACGGUAAUGGGUAAAGAAGCACCGGCUAACUACGUG
rnacentral:rRNA from 1 species